rnacentral:rRNA from 1 species
UACGAAGGGUGCAAACGUUGCUCGGAAUCAUUGGGCGUAAAGCGCACGUAGGCGGCCUCACAAGUCGGAUGUGAAAUCCCGUGGCUCAACCAUGGACGUGCAUUCGAAACUGCGAGGCUUGAGUAUGGAAGAGGGUCGCGGAAUUCCCGGUGUAGAGGUGAAAUUCGUAGAUAUCGGGAGGAACACCAGUGGCGAAGGCGGCGACCUGGGCCAAUACUGACGCUGAGGUGCGAAAGCGUGGGGAGCAAACAGG